rnacentral:lncRNA from 1 species
AUCAGUUAUGCAUUGUGGUUAUCAAAAUCAAGUUAGUUGACAUAUUCAUUAUCUUACAUAGGUAGUAAGUAUUUAUAUAUCAUGGUGAAAUUACUUAAGAUCUACUCUCUCAGCAAUUCCUGAUUCACUAGUACAUGCAUCUUACAAUUUAUUUUCACAAAUAAUGCCAUUAAUUUUUUUGUAUCUUUUCUAAAGCAGAUCUACAGAAGACAUUCCAUCUUAGUUGAUAACUCAAAUGUACAAACACUCAAAGCAAUUUAUUGGAUUGUAUUUAUUUAUUUUAUUGAGACGGAAUAUGCAGUUCAGACUGGUGCUGAACUCACUAUGUAUACCACGCUGGCCUUGAACUUAUGAUCUUCCUGCCUCAGCUUCCCAAGU